AACAAACGCUGGCGGCGCGUUUUAAGCAUGCAAGUCGGACGGCAAGAGCUGUAGCAAUAUGGCUCCUAGAGUGGCGAACGGGUGAGUAACACGUAGGUGAUCUACCUUUGGAUGGGGGAUAGUCCGUGGAAACACGGGGUAAUACCGCAUGAGGCCUUGUGGGUAGAGCCAUGAGGUGAAAGGUGCAAUUGCACCGUCUGGGGAUGAGCCUGCGGUCCAUUAUGGUAGUUGGCGGGGUAAAGGCCCACCAAGCCUCCGAUGGAUAGCCGGCCUGAGAGGGUGUACGGCCACACUGGAACUGAGACACGGUCCAGACUCCUACGGGAGGCAGCAGCUAAGAAUCUUCCGCAAUGGGGGAAACCCUGACGGAGCGACGCCGCGUGGACGAUGGAGGCCGUAAGGUUGUAAAGUCCUUUUCCUGGUGAAGAAUAGCCCGAGGAGUGGAAAGCCUUGGGGAUGACGUUAGCCAGGGAAUAAGCCCCGGCCAAUUACGUGCCAGCAGCCGCGGUAAAGAGU
rnacentral:rRNA from 1 species